rnacentral:rRNA from 1 species
GUACACUCCUGCGGGAGGCAGCAGUGGGGAAUAUUGGACAAUGGGCGCAAGCCUGAUCCAGCCAUGCCGCGUGAGUGAUGAAGGCCCUAGGGUUGUAAAGCUCUUUCACCGGUGAAGAUAAUGACGGUAACCGGAGAAGAAGCCCCGGCUAACUUCGUGCCAGCAGCCGCGGUAAUACGAAGGGGGCUAGCGUUUUUCGGAUUUACUGGGCGUAAAGCGCACGUAGGCGGACUAUUAAGUCAGGGGUGAAAUCCCGGGGCUCAACCCCGGAACUGCCUUUGAUACUGGUAGUCUUGAGGUCGAGAGAGGUGAGUGGAAUUCCGGGUGUAGAGGUGAAAUUCGUAGAUAUUCGGAGGAACACCAGUGGCGAAGGCGGCUCACUGGCUCGAUACUGACGCUGAGGUGCGAAAGCGUGGGGAGCAAACAGGAUUAGAAACCCUAGUAGUCCCAUGAU